rnacentral:rRNA from 1 species
ACUCAAAUGAAUAGACGGGGACCCGCACAACCAGUGGAGCGUGUGGUUCAAUUUGAGACGAAGCAAAAGACCUCACCAGGAUUUGACAUGUAGCCGUACAUUUCUCUGGAAACAGAGAGAAAUCCGCAAGGAUGGUUACACAGGUGCUGCAUGGCUGUCGUCAGCUCGUGCCGUGAGGUGUUCCAUUAAGUUGGGAAACGAGUGCAACCCCUAUCUUGUGUUAAAUAUUCACAAGAGACUGCCUCAGUUUUACUGAGGAGGAAGGAGGGGCGGACGUCAAGUCCGCAUGGCCCUUAUAUCCUGGGCCACACACACCCUACAAUGGCGAAAAACAACGAGUCGCAAGCCGGUAACGGCAAGCUAAUCUCUGAAAUUUCGCCUCAGUUCAGAUUGGGGUCUGAAACCCGACCCCAUGAAGUCGGAAUUGGUAGUAAUCGCGAAUCAGCAGGUCGCGGUGAAUACGUUCUCGGGUCUUGUACACACCGCCCGU